rnacentral:rRNA from 1 species
UACGUAGGUGGCAAGCGUUGUCCGGAUUUACUGGGCGUAAAGAGCGCGCAGGCGGUCGUUCAAGUCGCGUGUGAAAGCCCCCGGCUCAACUGGGGAGGGUCACGCGAUACUGAUCGACUCGAAGGCAGGAGAGGGUAGUGGAAUUCCCGGUGUAGUGGUGAAAUGCGUAGAUAUCGGGAGGAACACCAGUGGCGAAGGCGGAUCUCUGGGCCUGUCCUGACGCUGAGGCGCGAAAGCUAGGGGAGCGAACAGG